UACGUAGGGGGCAAGCGUUGUCCGGAAUCAUUGGGCGUAAAGCGCGUGUAGGCGGUUCGGUAAGUCGGCUGUGAAAGUCCAGGGCUCAACCCUGGGAUGCCGGUCGAUACUGCCGGACUAGAGUUCGGAAGAGGCGAGUGGAAUUCCCGGUGUAGCGGUGAAAUGCGCAGAUAUCGGGAGGAACACCAAUGGCGAAGGCAGCUCGCUGGGACGUUACUGACGCUGAGACGCGAAAAGCGUGGGGAGCAAACAGGG
rnacentral:rRNA from 1 species